CGCGAAUGGCUCAUUACAACAGCCGUUGUUUCUUGGAUCUUGAUUUACUUGGAUAACUGUGGUAAUUCUAGAGCUAAUACAUGCAACCAAGCUCCGACCUUGCGGAAGGAGCGCAUUUAUUAGACCAAGACCAAUCGGGCUCUGCCUGACUUUUGGUGACUCUGAAUAACUUUGCUGAUCACACGGUCCAGCACCGGUGACAUAUCUUUCAAGUGUCUGCCCUAUCAACUUUCGAUGGUAGUUUACGUGCCUACCAUGGUUGUAACGGGUAACGGAGAAUAAGGGUUCGACUCCGGAGAGGGAGCCUGAGAAAUGGCUACCACAUCCAAGGAAGGCAGCAGGCGCGCAAAUUACCCAAUCUCAGUUCGAGGAGGUAGUGACGAAAAAUAACGAGACGGUUCUCUAUGAGGCCCGUCAUCGGAAUGGGUACAAUUUAAACCCUUUAACGAGGAUCUAUUGGAGGGCAAGUCUGGUGCCAGCAGCCGCGGUAAUUCCAGCUCCAAUAGCAUAUGCCAAUUCUGUUGCUGUUAAAAAGCUCGUAGUUGGAUCUUUUCCGAGGAGCCAGUCUGCCUAAAGGGUACGUACUGGUUUCCGAGGAUUUUUCUGCUGGUCUUCCCGUGGUGCUCUUCACCGGGUGUCACGGGUGGCUAGCGCUUUUACUUUGAAAAAAUUAGAGUGCUCAAAACAGGCGUUACUGCCCGAAUAGUGGUGCAUGGAAUAAUGGAAUAGGAUCUCGGUUCUAUUUUGUUGGUUUUAGGAGCGCGAGAUAAUGAUUAAGAGGGACAGACGGGGGCAUUCGUAUUGCGGCGUUAGAGGUGAAAUUCUUGGAUCGCCGCAAGACGAACAACUGCGAAAGCAUUUGCCAAGAAUGUCUUCAUUAAUCAAGAACGAAAGUUAGAGGUUCGAAGGCGAUCAGAUUCCGCCC
rnacentral:rRNA from 1 species